rnacentral:lncRNA from 1 species
UCAAACCUAAAAGUUAAAAUCAAUUAAAUUCAUAUUCAACCAACUAUAUUGCUGUUCAAGUAAAAAAACCUUUUGAAAUUUUUGUAAGUUUCAUAUUAAUUAUAGAUAUAAUUUAAAUUGAGUUUAUAAAUAACACUAUAAAAAUUAUUUUAAAAAAACUAAAAUAAAAAGAACCCAUAAUAUUACCCUAUAAAAAUCAUUAAAAAAAAAACUAAA